UACGUAGGGGGCAAGCGUUGUCCGGAUUUAUUGGGCGUAAAGCGCACGCAGGCGGUCUGGUAAGUUUGGAGUGACAGUGCCCGGCUCAACUGGGCAAGGCCUCUGAAGACUGCUGGACUUGAGGACCAGAGAGGGACAUAGAAUUCCGGGUGGAGUGGUGAAAUGCGUAGAUAUCCGGAGGAAUACCAAAGGCGAAGGCAGUGUCCUGGCUGGUAACUGACGCUCAGGUGCGAAAGCUAGGGGAGCGAACAGG
rnacentral:rRNA from 1 species